UGUUUUCGAGUCCCUGGCUUGUGAAGGCCGGUUUCGUUGAUAUACUAACUCAAAGUGAUCAUCCAUUCGUGUUUGGGAUCUUCGACGGAGCUGUCCACAGUGAUCAUUGGUCGUACUGUAAACGGCCUUUUUGUAGUAUUUCUGGCGUGGAGGCGCGUUUCGUUAAGGCUCUUGGUGUAGCUGCAGCAAAUGGAAACGGACACUAAAAAGCAACAUCUUAUAAGACUGAAUAUCCUGUGGAUUCGAAACUCCCCCGGGUUCCGUUACAAAGACAACUGUAACUCUAUUUGUAGACGCUGUGUAUGUCCUGUGUAAACUGCAUAUCCUGUGAGGAUUCAAACCCUAUCCGGUUACCCGGAAAACUAACUCUUGAAGACGCACUGCUCAACCUACUGUUCAAUUAUUUAAUCAUGACUAAUUAACAUAUAUAAUAGUAUUUACGUCUAUGAAGACCAACGUAAUUAUAUAUAUACUUGAAAUUC